rnacentral:rRNA from 1 species
GACGAACGUUGGCGGCGCGCUUAACACAUGCAAGUUGAACGGAAAGGCCUGCUUUCCCUUGUGGAUUGCGGGUACUCGAGUGGCGAACGGGUGAGUAACACGUGAGUGAUCUGCCCCCAACUUGGGUAUAAGCCUGGGAAACUGGGUCUAAUUCCCGAUAGGACUGCAGGGUGGUGCCUGUGGUGGAAAACGUUUUUUUAGUGGUUGGGGAUGAGCUCGCGGCCUAUCAGCUUGUUGGUGGGGUAAUGGCCUACCAAGGCGGCGACGGGUAGCCGGCCUGAGAGGGUGGACGGCCACAGUGGGACUGAGAUACGGCCCAGACUCCUACGGGAGGCAGCAGUGGGGAAGAAUGCACAAUGAGCGGAAGCCUGAUGCAGCGACGCCGCGUGGGGGAUGACGGCCUUCGGGUUGUAAACUCCUUUCGACCGCGAGGAAGCCACCUGGUUGGAAGGGUGGUGACGGUAGUGGUAGAAGAAGCACCGGCUAACUACGUG